UCGGGCCGCCGCAUAGCAACCUUGCCAAGGUUGGGGUCGAGGGUUCGAAUCCCUUCGCCCGCUCCA
rnacentral:tRNA from 1 species